GUUGCUGGUCGGGUGAUCGCUCGAGAUAAUUUCGGGAGGAAAGUCCGGACACCGCAGAGCAGGGUAAUCGGUAACACCGAUACGUCGAAAGGCGUGGAAAGUGCCACAGAAAAUAUACCGCCGAGCACCUAUUUAUUCAAGACAGAAUAUGGUUAGGAUAUUUUGUUUUGUGAAUUUAGGUGCUUGGUAAGGGUGAAAAGGGGAGGUAAGAGCUCACCGCCUGUCUGGUGACAGUCAGGGCAUGGUAAACCCUACCCGGUGCAAGGCCAAAUAGGCAAGUGUUUGAGGGCUGCUCGUCCGAUGCUUGCGGGUAGGCUGCUUGAGGCAAGCAGCAAUGCUUGUCCCAGAUAAAUGAUCACCACCUAAGAAAUUAGGUACAGAAUCCGGCUUACAGACCAGCAAAAAAG
rnacentral:RNase_P_RNA from 1 species